rnacentral:piRNA from 1 species
UCAGUUUUUAUCUGAUCAGGCAAUACAA